AGAGAGUACGUGAAAUGAGGAGA
rnacentral:miRNA from 1 species